UGGAAAAUGUAUUUCUAUAAAUACGUUUUCAAAUUACUCCCGCUUAUACCUAGUUGCCGUCAAUCAUAUCAAUAGCGCCACGCCUGCGGGUACGUAGGCUUUAUACGUCCUUUGUGCAGAUGAAGCCAUGAAUGUCUCGAAAAUCACUCCAAUUUCCCGCCUCUUUAUCCCACAACUUAACCCAAAUAACCAGGCAGAAACUGUAAAUUUGCAUUUGGGGUUUUUGGUUAGAAACAAAAAAAUUCUAAUGGGUUUGAGAGUUAGACAAAGAGGGACUAAGAGAUGGGGGUGGAACGGAAGAGAAAGCAUCAAAGCAGACGGAGAAAGAGACGAAGUGGGAGUCGAAGAGGAAGAGGCAGAUGUAGAAGCAGCUUGAAUAUAUAUAAUCUACCACGCCAGGAUGCAGAGGAAACGGGUUUUUUUGCACGUACUAUGGAAAAGGAGGCUGAAGUCAACAAUGCUCUAUCGGCCUCGGACAAGAAAGUUAUAGUGACACAUCAAAAGUCAAAUAUUAAGAUUGCUACAAGAGGCAUUCCGUACCUCUUAUCAUGAGCGUGGUUAAAGGAUGAAGGUCUAAAUUUGUAUUUGGAACUAUUAAAGGAGAGUGAAAAAAAGGAAUUGUUACCAUCCUUGAAACGCCACUUCUCUAAUACCUUAUUUUAUAUGAAGAACGUCCAAGCGCAGAUUGUUAAACUGGAAUAAAAUCAGGAUAAUCUCACAAAGAAACUGGUAGACUUCAAUUCUGAUGCUGAACAACUCUUCCUCGGGUGUGUGGCUCUUAAAGAAGGCAACCUGAAUCAGGCGAGCUUUCAGUACAUCAAAAAUAUGUACAACUCGAUGCAAGCUAUGGCCUUCAAACUUGGUGUAGAUUCCAGCACUCCUAUUACUGGGGAGUAGGGCUUUUUCUUUUGGCUUUCCGUGCUCCAUUUCAUAAGGAAUGGCUCUGUUUUGUUGUGCUAUUGAUCUCUCAUUGAUCGCUGUGUGUAAACUUUUAACCAUUCUAAGCUUAUUAUAGUUGAACAAAAGUUUUAAAAAAGAUAACCCACCGUCAUACCUAGGAGCCCAUGUACUCUCUACAUUAUAAUUUCGUCAAGUCAAAAGGAUGAUCUAAAUCUCUAAACUCUCAUAACACAUUGCCAAAGCUGAAAUUAAAAAUCGAUCCUUUCCUACUCACUGGAAUUCUGACAGCAUAUAACUCGUAAUAAUUCAAGUUUCUGUUAAUAUCUUGUUUUGUAUAGCAUCAUCAAUUAUCUCUCAAAAACUUUAUCCAUUAUCUAUUUAUCUAUUACUCAUGGUCCGAAAUGUUGAUACAAACAAACACACAAUUUAAACCAAAAACAAUAGAAAUAUAAUAUCUUUAACAUUAUUCAUAUUUGAAAUGAUGGAAUUGGUUUGCAUUCCUUACCACAAUUUUCUGGCAAUUCUUAGAGAUAAACCUGGUUCCGAAAUUGCAGUUACUGCAUGCGUCAGGGCUUUUCAUGACUCUAAUAUUGGUUAUAGAGGAUGGAUUUAGCUUUUAACAAGCCAAAUGCAAUUGUCAUUCUAUCACCAUGAUGGGAGAGAAGUGAUUCUUUCUCCUUUGUGUCCACAUCAUCGAAUAGUAUUGAACAAUCUAAAUCCCACUUAAUUAAAAUUAAUGUGAUUGCCUGUUCCAAGAUUUGUUAGUUCUGAAGAUGCCUAAAGUUAAAUUGGAUAGAGAUAUAGCACAUGCUUUUAAUUCAAUUAGAAAAAUAAACACGUCUGCAUUCAAGCACUCAACUCAACCUUCCCAAUGGCAUGUUAGGACAACUCUAUAUUAACAGUUUAUGUCAAUUGAACAACCGGUGGGAUGGGUUAUGCUGACAUUUAACCGUUGACAGUUCUGAUUGCAGAGCAUUCAUGAUCAAGUAUUGCUGAUUUCUAUGGUGGUGGAAUGCCACCGAAUUUUACACAGAAAAGCUUUGCAGGUGUGGGAUACAUGAUCCUUUAAGAAAGCAAAAUAAGUUUUUGUCAAAAAUUACGAUAGAAACAUGGUCAAAGCUAGCCAAGUCAAUGGCACUUUAAGGAAACGGGAAGACAAUCAUCCUGACCAGGCAACAUAUUCAAAGGUUGAUAUCUGGUAUUCAUCAAGAAGUUUCAUAGCUGAGAUAUAUAAGCAACAAGUAAAAGAACAUGUUACAGGUUGUUAAAGAUUGUCUUAAAACAGAGGACAUGUUUGAAAAUAUUUUCCUAGUGUCAAAGCAAUUUACUAGGCAAGUUCGGAAGGAAAAUUUGUAAUGUUGCAGGCUAGAAAUUUAGUACUAUGAACUUUAUGUAGCAAUCGGCCCAGAACAUACAAGGUAAAUAUGUUCUUUUGCUUUGCAUACCUUACGUACAUACACCAUAUUUUGCUAACCUAGAAGCCUUCUCAAUCUAGCUUGUUGAGGACUUGAGAGACUUUGAGGUUGGGGUUGUGUUAUGAACA